rnacentral:rRNA from 1 species
UAGAGUGCAGGAGAGGAAAGCGGAAUUCCUAGUGUAGCGGUGAAAUGCGUAAAGAUUAGGAAGAACACCAGUGGCGAAGGCGGCUUUCUGGACUGUAACUGACGCUGAGGCACGAAAGCGUGGGUAGCAAACAGGAUUAGAUACCCUGGUAGUCCACGCCGUAAACGAUGGAUACUAGGUGUAGGGGGUAUCAACUCCCUCUGUGCCGCAGUUAACACAAUAAGUAUCCCGCCUGGGGAGUACGGUCGCAAGAUUAAAACUCAAAGGAAUUGACGGGGGCCCGCACAAGCAGCGGAGCAUGUGGUUUAAUUCGAAGCAACGCGAAGAGCCUUACCUGGACUUGACAUCCCUUGCAUAGCCUAGAGAUAGGUGAAGCCCUUCGGGGCAAGGAGACAGGUGGUGCAUGGUUGUCGUCAGCUCGUGUCGUGAGAUGUUAGGUUAAGUCCUGCAACGAGCGCAACCCUUGUUAUUAGUUGCUACCAUUAAGUUGAGCACUCUAAUGAGACUGCCUGGGUAACCAGGAGGAAGGUGGGGAUGACGUCAAAUCAUCAUGCCCCUUAUGUCCAGGGCUACACACGUGCUACAAUGGUAGGUACAAUAAGAGGCAAGACCGUGAGGUGGAGCAAAACUUAUAAAGCCUAUCUCAGUUCGGAUUGUAGGCUGCAACUCGCCUACAUGAAGCUGGAGUUGCUAGUAAUCGCGAAUCAGAAUGUCGCGGUGAAUACGUUCCCGGGCCUUGUACACACCGCCCGUCACACCAUGAGAGCUGGUAACACCCGAAGUCCGUGGGGCAACCGUAAGGAGCCAGCGGCCGAAGGUGGGAUUAGUGAUUGGGGUGAAGUCGUAACAAGGUAGUCGUAGGAGAACCUGCGGCUGGAUCACCUCCUU